rnacentral:lncRNA from 1 species
UACCUUGCCCUUUCAUUAGUAUGAUUGCGUCACUUUAUGCUUCAACAUUCCCUUCAAGCUUAUAACAUUAGCCUUAGUUCUUCCCUUGGCUACUGCUACAGUCGAUAAAGCAUUUUCUGCUAUGACCAAUGUCAAAAAUCAUCUGCAGAAUUGAAUCGAGGAUCAAUGGUUAAAUGUUAGUUUGAUUGCAUAUAUUUAGAAUGGUGCAUUUGAUAAUAUUGAAAAUGAUGUAAUUAUUGAAAAGUAUGUGAUCAAAUAGAGAAUAAUUGUGAUAAGAUAUCAGAUACUAUAUUAUUUUGCAAGUUUGAUUGUGUUCCUCUAACUAAAAAUGUCUUGCUAGUGUCAUCAAUGACUUGAGAAUACAAUUGCACGUUGUUCCAAUUAUUAUUGAAGGAUUCAAGAUUACACUUCCAAUUGGAAUGUUACUUCGAUCAAAGCAAUUCGAAGUGGAACUAACGAUUUAUAUAAUCAAGAACUGCUAUAAGCUCGACACUUUUCUUCUUCUAUGUAUUGAAUGGAAGAAUAACAUAUCACUUCUAGUCGAGGUAUUAAUUAAAUGCAGCCUCAGACGUACCUACACACUGCCAGCGACAAUGUAUCGGUGUUCGACACGUAUUGGACAUCGAUACACUUUCGAUACGUCAUCGAUGCGUGUCGGAGGCUUUGGUAGGCAGCUGACUUGAAG